GGAGGAAAGUAGGGGAUCGAAAGACCUUAUGCUUUUGGAGCGGCCGAUGUCUGAUUAGCUAGUUGGUAAGGUAAUGGCUUACCAAGGCGACGAUCAGUAGUUGGUCUGAGAGGACGGCCAGCCACACUGGGACUGAGACACGGCCCAGACUCCUACGGGAGGCAGCAGUGGGGAAUUUUGGACAAUGGGCGCAAGCCUGAUCCAGCAAUGCCGCGUGAGUGAAGAAGGCCUUCGGGUUGUAAAGCUCUUUCAGUCGAGAAGAAAAGGUUGUGACUAAUAAUCAUAACUCAUGACGGUAUCGACAGAAGAAGCACCGGCUAACUACGUGCCAGCAGCCGCGGUAAUACGUAGGGUGCGAGCGUUAAUCGGAAUUACUGGGCGUAAAGGGUGCGCAGGCGGUUCUGUAAGUCAGAUGUGAAAUCCCCGGGCUUAACCUGGGAACUGCGUUUGAAACUACAAGGCUA
rnacentral:rRNA from 1 species